CCCUUAGAUGUUCUGGGCCGCACGCGCGCUACACUGAUUCAUGCAACAAGUUUUGUCCUUGGCUGAUAGGCCUGGGUAAUCUUUGAACGUGAAUCGUGAUGGGGAUAGAUGAUUGCAAUUAUUCAUCUUCAACGAGGAAUUCCUAGUAAACGCAAGUCAUCAGCUUGCAUUGAUUACGUCCCUGCCCUUUGUACACACCGCCCGUCGCACCUACCGAUUGAAUGGUCCGGUGAAAUCUUCGGAUCUGAGAGAUGUCUGAUUAAUUUCGGACGCCUUUUGGAAAAGUUGUUUAAACCUUACCAUUUAGAGGAAGGUGAAGUCGUANCA
rnacentral:rRNA from 1 species